UUUCCGUAGGUGAACCUGCGGAAGGAUCAUUAAAGAAUCGCCCCGUUUUUUAUAAAUGGGUUCUAUUCCCAAACCGUGUAUACAUACCUUUGUUGCUUUGGCAGGCCGCCUCCGGGCGUCGGCUCCGGCUGAUAGUGCCUGCCAGAGGACCCAAACUCUGUGUUUAGUGAUGUCUGAGUACUAUAUAAUAGUCAAAACUUUCAACAACGGAUCUCUUGGUUCUG
rnacentral:misc_RNA from 1 species